rnacentral:lncRNA from 1 species
UCUCCCUGAAUAUGUGUAAUCUAUUUUCUGUGAAAUUAUCUGCCAUGGAAUGAAUGUCAAGAUGGACCAAGACUGCUCUUUUGAGAAAUGGUCCAUGACUUCUCAUCAUCCUCGAGAAAUUUUACCAGAGCAGGGAAUAAAAGAGAGAGAGGGAAGAUAUGGAAAGUAUGACCUUGAUCAUUU